rnacentral:rRNA from 1 species
UACGGGGGGGGCAAGCGUUGUUCGGAAUUACUGGGCGUAAAGGGUGCGUAGGUGGCGGGGUUAGUCAGGUGUGAAAUCUCGGGGCUCAACCCCGAAACUGCACUUGAUACUGCCUUGCUAGAGUACUGGAGAGGAGAUUGGAAUUUACGGUGUAGCAGUGAAAUGCGUAGAUAUCGUAAGGAAGACCAGUGGCGAAGGCGAAUCUCUGGACAGUUACUGACACUGAGGCACGAAGGCCAGGGGAGCAAACGGG